GUAGGCACUUCUCUAUUGUUGAUAAGGCGAUAAGACUGCUUUGUUCCCAUUACUGAAAAUGUCUCCGAUCUUAACUUGUGUGCUGUUUGUGGUUCUGGUUGGUACGGUAUGGACCCAACACCAUAACGACCACCAUUGUUACAACUGUUUCCAUGCCACCUCACCACACAGCUGCACGGACAUAGAGUCCUGUCCACAUGGGAAGCAAUGUUUCACCACCCACUAUACUGGACCAGACGGGAAUACGUACUACCAUCUAGGAUGUGCCUCACACGGAGCCUGCAUACACACGGCCAACUUUGACCCCCACACACAUGACUGGAUUUACCCGUAUCCCCACAAGGAGGUUUUGUGUGGACACUGCUGUUCAGAACCCGGGUGCAACCAAAACACUUGUGAUCCUAACGCCUAACAGAAUUGCCAAUAUGUAUUUUUCAUGUUUUAGACGAAAAACCUGAAAUUCCCUCGAUAAUUACAAUGUUGUCAACAAAUAAAGAUCUAAUUACAUAAAA